rnacentral:rRNA from 2 species
GGUUAAGUUAGGAAGGGCGCAUGGUGGAUGCCUUGGCACUAGGAGUCGAUGAAGGACGUGACUAACUGCGAUAUGCUUCGGGAAGCUGUAAGUAAGCAAUGACCCGGAGAUCUCCGAAUGGGGCAACCCAAUGACUGUAACGAGUUAUUAUCGCCGGCUGAAUACAUAGGCCGGUGGAAGACAGACGCAGGGAACUGAAACAUCUAAGUACCUGCAGGAAAAUAAAGAAAUUUCGAUUCCCUCAGUAGCGGCGAGCGAACGGGGAACAGCCCAAACCAAGAAGCUUGCUUCUUGGGGUUGUAGGACUGGACAUUUGAGUUACCAAGAAAAACUGUAGUCAAACGGCCUGGGAAGGCCGGCUAGAAAGGGUGACAGCCCCGUAGGCGAAACAGUUUUUCCUCAGUCCAGGAUCCUGAGUACGGCGGAGCACGUGAAACUCCGUCGGAAUCCGGGAGGACCAUCUCCCAAGGCUAAAUACUACCUAGUGACCGAUAGUGGACCAGUACCGUGAGGGAAAGGUGAAAAGCACCCCGGGAGGGGAGUGAAACAGUUCCUGAAACCAUGUGCCUACAAGUAGUCAGAGCCCGUUAAGGGGUGAUGGCGUGCCUUUUGUAGAAUGAACCGGCGAGUUACGUUAACGUGCCAGGUUAAGGUGGAAAGACCGGAGCCGCAGCGAAAGCGAGUCUGAACAGGGCGCACGAGUACGUUGACGUAGACCCGAAACCAAGUGACCUACCCAUGUCCAGGUUGAAAGUGCGGUAAAACGCACCGGAGGACCGAACCCGUGUAUGUUGAAAAAUGCUGGGAUGAGGUGUGGGUAGCGGUGAAAUUCCAAACGAACUUGGAGAUAGCUGGUUCUCUCCGAAAUAGCUUUAGGGCUAGCCUCGGAAGUUAAGGAUCGUGGAGGUAGAGCACUGUUUGGACUAGGGGCCCGUCUUGGGUUACUGAAUUCAGAUAAACUCCGAAUGCCACUGAUCUUGUUCCGGGAGUCAGACUGCGAGUGAUAAGAUCCGUAGUCGAAAGGGAAACAGCCCAGACCACCAAUUAAGGUCCCUAAAUAUGUGUUAAGUGGAAAAGGAUGUGGGAUCGCACAGACAACUAGGAUGUUGGCUCAGAAGCAGCCACCAUUCAAAGAGUGCGUAAUAGCUCACUAGUCGAGUGAUCCUGCGCCGAAAAUGUAACGGGGCUAAACACAUUACCGAAAUUGUGGAUCCGACCGUCAGGUCGGGUGGUAGGAGAGCGUUCUAAGGGCGAAGAAGCCGGACCGUCAGGACCGGUGGAGCGCUUAGAAGUGAGAAUGCCGGUAUGAGUAGCGCAAGGUCAGUGAGAAUCUGACCCACCGUAUGACUAAGGUUUCCUGGGGAAGGCUCGUCCUCCCAGGGUUAGUCGGGACCUAAGCCGAGGCCGCAAGGCGUAGGCGAUGGACAACAGGUGGAGAUUCCUGUACUGAUCAGAUCUGUUUGAGCAAUGGAGGGACGCAGGAGGCUAACGGAGCGUGCAGCUGGAAUUGCACGUCCAAGCAGCGAGUCGCAAAACGAGUGAAAGGCUUGUUUUGGUGGUAGAUGAGCUGUGAUGGGGAGCGAAAUUUAAGUAGCGAAGGAAGUCAUGUCACACUGCCGAGAAAAGCUUCUAGCGAGGAUCUGAUCACCCGUACCGCAAACCGACACAGGUAGUCGAGGAGAGUAUCCUCAGGUGAGCGAGUGAACUCUCGUUAAGGAACUCGGCAAAAUGACCCCGUAACUUCGGGAGAAGGGGUGCUGGUCGACAGACCAGCCGCAGUGAAUAGGCCCAGGCGACUGUUUAUCAAAAACACAGGUUUCUGCAAAAUCGUAAGAUGACGUAUAGGGGCUGACGCCUGCCCGGUGCUGGAAGGUUAAGAGGAUGAGUUAGCGCAAGCGAAGCUCAGAAUCGAAGCCCCAGUAAACGGCGGCCGUAACUAUAACGGUCCUAAGGUAGCGAAAUUCCUUGUCGGGUAAGUUCCGACCCGCACGAAAGGCGUAACGAUCUGGGCACUGUCUCAACGAGAGACUCGGUGAAAUUAUAAUACCCGUGAAGAUGCGGGUUACCCGCGACAGGACGGAAAGACCCCAUGGAGCUUUACUGUAGCUUGAUAUUGGGUGUUCGUGCAACUUGUACAGGAUAGGUAGGAGCCGUAGAAAACGGGACGCUAGUCUCGUUGGAGGCAGUGGUGGGAUACUACCCUCGUUGUAUGAACACUCUAACCCGCGCCGGUUGAUCCCGGCGGGAGACAGUGUCUGGUAGGCAGUUUGACUGGGGCGGUCGCCUCCCAAAAGGUAACGGAGGCGCCCAAAGGUUCCCUCAGAAUGGUUGGAAAUCAUUCGCAGAGUGUAAAGGCAGAAGGGAGCUUGACUGUGAGACUUACAAGUCGAGCAGGGACGAAAGUCGGGCUUAGUGAUCCGGUGGUUCCGUAUGGAAGGGCCAUCGCUCAACGGAUAAAAGCUACCCUGGGGAUAACAGGCUUAUCUCCCCCAAGAGUCCACAUCGACGGGGAGGUUUGGCACCUCGAUGUCGGCUCAUCGCAUCCUGGGGCUGUAGUCGGUCCCAAGGGUUGGGCUGUUCGCCCAUUAAAGCGGUACGCGAGCUGGGUUCAGAACGUCGUGAGACAGUUCGGUCCCUAUCCGUCGCGGGCGUAGGAAAUUUGCGAGGAUCUGUCCUUAGUACGAGAGGACCGGGAUGGACACACCGCUGGUGUACCAGUUGUCUUGCCCAAGGCAGCGCUGGGUAGCUAAGUGUGGAUGAGAUAAACGCUGAAAGCAUCUAAGUGCGAAACUCGCCUCAAGAUCAGAUUUCCCAUUCCUUUAUGGAAGUAAGACCCCUGAGAGAUGAUCAGGUAGAUAGGAUGGAAGUGGAAGUGCCGUGAGGCAUGGAGCGGACCAUUACUAAUCGGUCGAGGACUUAACCAA